UGCGAUUUGAGUUCUGAUUAUAAAAUAACCAGAUAUUUAGGACUGAAUAAUUAACUGUUUGUCUUUACUUUCUGAACAUUUAGAAAAGAUCAAGUGGCUGACUGAAGAGAAGGUCGAGCUGAGGGCACAGCUGGCUCUACAAUCAGGAACCAUAAGGAAGAAUCUUUCCAACCGGGAUGCCACUGAUGAGGCUGUCCAGAACCAGGUCCCCAGGUACCAGAAAGGGGCAGCUGACCGUGCAGGUGGGAAAUUUCGCGGCGG
ensembl:lncRNA